rnacentral:rRNA from 1 species
GAUGAACGCUGGCGGCGUGCUUAACACAUGCAAGUCGAACGGUGAAGGCGGAGCUUGCUCUGCUGGAUCAGUGGCGAACGGGUGAGUAACACGUGAGCAAUCUGCCCCUGACUCUGGGAUAAGCGCUGGAAACGGCGUCUAAUACUGGAUACGAGCUGCGAAGGCAUCUUCAGCAGCUGGAAAGAACUUCGGUCAGGGAUGAGCUCGCGGCCUAUCAGCUUGUUGGUGAGGUAACGGCUCACCAAGGCGUCGACGGGUAGCCGGCCUGAGAGGGUGACCGGCCACACUGGGACUGAGACACGGCUCAGACUCCUACGGGAGGCAGCAGUGGGGAAUAUUGCACAAUGGGCGAAAGCCUGAUGCAGCAACGCCGCGUGAGGGACGACGGCCUUCGGGUUGUAAACCUCUUUUAGCAGGGAAGAAGCGAAAGUGACGGUACCUGCAGAAAAAGCGCCGGCUAACUACGUG